UAUCAGAUGUUGUGCCUGUGCCAGUGCUCCUCCAUCAGAGCUCGAAUCUGAGCUUGUUGCAGGGCAGUAGUAAGAAAUUCUACCUCUAUGAAUUUCCCGAAGGAAAAAGACAAAAGUCCAAAAGGAACUUUGACUUAAUUUUCCACAAGAACAGACU